rnacentral:rRNA from 1 species
CCUACGGGUGGCAGCAGUGAGGAAUAUUGCUCAAUGGACGAGAGUCUGAACCAGCCACGCAGCGUGAAGGAUGACUGCCCUAUGGGUUGUAAACUUCUUUUAUAAAGGAAUAAAACGAGGCACGUGUGCCUUUUUGCAUGUACUUUAUGAAUAAGGAUCGGCUAACUCCGUUACAGCAGCCGCGGUAAUACGGAGUAUCCGAGCGUUAUCCGGAUUUAUUGGGUUUAAAGGGAGCGUAGAUGGGUUGUUAAGUCAGUUGUGAAAGUUUGGGGCUCAACCGUAAAAUUGCAAUUGAUACUGGCAGUCUUGAGUACAGGUGAGGUAGGCGGAAUUCGUGGUGUAGCGGUGAAAUGCGUAGAUAUCACGAAGAACCCCGAUUGCGAAGGCAGCUUACUAAACUGUGACUGACAUUGAUGCGCGAAAGUGUGGGUAGCAAACAGGAUUAGAUACCCUUGUAGUC